UACGAAAGGUGCAAGCGUUACUCGGAAUCACUGGGCGUAAAGCGCACGUAGGCGGACUCGCAGGUCAAUUGUGAAAUACCUGGGCUCAACCCGGGAACUGCAGUUGAAACCGCUUGUCUUGAAUACCUGAGAGGGUGGGGGAAUACCUGGUGGAGAAGUGAAAUUCGUAGAGAUCAGGUGGAACACCGGAGGCGAAGGCGCCUGCCUGGCAGUGUAUUGACGCUGAGGUGCGAAAGUGCGGGGAGCACACAGG
rnacentral:rRNA from 1 species